CUAAGGAUGGUUCUUCAGAAGCUUGCUUCUAUCGAACCGUUUUAGAAACAUCAGUGGCCAACGGUCGUCAGGAUCGUUGAGCUGCAUUGGCGGGAUUUCGCCGUCUUCGUUUCUCUUUCUUCGCGGACGAACACGCGCUGGGGCUGCAACCUUGCAGAAUCCCUGGUCCUUGACUGGAUAUGCGUUAGGGGCUUGUAGCUCAGUUGGUUAGAGCGCGCGCUUGAUAAGCGUGAGGUCGGAAGUUCAAGUCUUCCCAGGCCCACCACACUCAUCGAGUGAGCAUUCGUCUUCUGGUUACGGGGCCAUAGCUCAGCUGGGAGAGCGCGUGCUUUGCAAGCAUGAGGUCGUCGGUUCGAUCCCGUCUGGCUCCACCAGAUGGUUUGAUCACCGACUACUCGUACCGUCGUCCGCGAAACAUCACUUCGCACUUACUAGUCCGGAUGGACAGUAAGCUGCGUGAUUUCUGACAUCGUAAAGAGGAGAUCGAUCCGAGUUGGAUCGGGCAACAAGUAAUUGUUGCGCGAUACUUCAUUAUCUCCGGAUCAUUUCGGCGCUCGUGCGUCUUCCAGGGUAGCUCACAAGGCUGCGUCUGAAGGACACGCGAGUUGUAAAUGAUCCUUUUAGCGAAGCUUGACCGCCUCGCUAUCGGAACGAUCUUACGAAGCAAGCUGGUCUUUCUAAUCAUUGUCCGGCUGCAGAUAGCGUUCAUCGAGGGCGCGUGCCUUAGAGACUUAGGUUUCUGGGCAAUUCUGCAGACAACAUUCUGCCGAGUGUGUGGACAUUGAUAAUGAGAGC
rnacentral:tRNA from 1 species